rnacentral:lncRNA from 1 species
CGAGCUCUAUGGGAAGCGAGGCCAUCGGUAAGAAGCUUAUUGGUGGUGAACUGCUGAUAUCUCUGAACCACUGACGUACGCAGCACCGAGAACGUCCAUGCAGAAUCACACAUACACGCAAAAAGAACUCUCAAACUGAUCGGAAUCACACACACAUUCGAGCAACUAGGGGCUGUACUAAUCCUCAAUCUUGAAGAGAAAUUAGAGGCUGCAAUGCUGAAGGUGAGCAUCACGCUGAAGGACGCCAGCACGGUCGACUCUGCUCUCUCCAGCGCAGCGAAACAGGACAGUUCACAGUGAACAGAACACGAAGGACAACUCACCCUAUGUGAGAUUUUUAGCCUGGCUAGGAGAGCACGCACGAGGAUUAAAAUGAUGACCUAAGAGUAGAAAUAGACUAUAGAAAACUAAAUCCUGGUUCAUAUAUUGAUCGAAUCGCUUUGAGAAAUGCCGGCCGCUAACGCCGGCGAGAAGGCAAAAUCAGGGUCCCAACUCGGCGGGCCAUCAUCGCGUUUGGCGUUCGGGCUACCAAUCGAGACGUGAAAGAGGUUCGAAUACCUCUGCGGGCGCCGUAUGCUCCAGUGCUGCCUCAACGCAGCCCCGGCGUGCUCGACCCGCGCCCCCCAGGUCGCUCACUCCGGCCGCCGCCGCAAUCUCCAUUAACUAGAUGGUACCCGCGCGUUGCUGGAAAUACGUAGAAUACCGGUACGGUAAGAUGCAAAAUGUAAAAAAAAAAACUCAAUGGUGUAAAACACGGAACUGAAUUUUGAAUAUGUAAAUUUGAAUUGGAUAUUUGUAUUUUAAAAUUAAUGUAUUUUCUGGUUGG